GGUUCCGUGGCCUAAUGGCUAGGGCGCUAGAUUUCGGUUCUAUUACGAUAUACGAUUCUCUAGAGAUUGUCGGUUCGAGUCCGGCCGGGAUCG